GAUGAAGAACGCAGCGAAAUGCGAUAAGUAAUGUGAAUUGCAGAAUUCAGUGAAUCAUCGAAUCUUUGAACGCACCUUGCGCUCCUUGGUAUUCCGAGGAGCAUGCCUGUUUGAGUGUCAUGAAAUUCUCAACCUUUUCAGCUUUCUUUGUUGAUCAGGCUUGGAUGUGGGAGUAUGCGGGCUUCUCAGAAGUCGGCUCUCCUGAAAUGCAUUAGCGGGACCUUUGUUGCCUGGCUUUGGUGUGAUAAUUAUCUACGCCAUUGUAGUCAAGCAGCUUAGAAUGAGGUUUCAGCUUCUAACCGUCUCCCCUGAGACAACUUUUUGACAAUUUGACCUCAAAUCAGGUAGGACUACCCGCUGAACUUAAGCAUAUCAAUAAGCGGAGGA
rnacentral:misc_RNA from 1 species